GGUGAUCUAUCAUGAAGGAGAUUCAAAGGGAGAUUAAUUGUGCGCUCAUUUCUUGAUCAUAUUCUGCACAUUGAGGUGUUUCUGGUUUGAUCAAGAAUCUGGUUUAGCAUCCUUGGUGAUUGUUGUGUGUAGCGGUUGUGACUACAAGGGAUAGACUCGUGGAGUCUAGUUUACUUUGAGGAUUGUUCAAAGUGGUUUUGUAGAUUGCAGGAGAGGGUAUAUCUUGCUACACGUCUUGUUGUGUUGUAUGCCUAUAUUUUGGUUAGAGGGUUAGAGAGGUGUUUUAUAUUUUUGAUAUGGAGGUCUUUUAUAAAAGCCUUGUUGUAAAAACCUUGACCAUUAUAGUGCAUUCGCUUCCUGGGUUUCGAAGGACAUUGGAUGUAGGCAUUGUUGGCCGAAUCAGUAUAAAAACCAGUGUUUCAUUUCUCUAUCCCCGCUCUUUUAUAUUCAGUCGACUAUAUUAUUUGCAUAGUCAACUACGAUUUUCCAUUGCACACAUUUUUCAUUACUUCCGUUUCAAGAAAGACUUGUAAAGUUUUCAACUUUGUUUUAAAGAUUGCAAAAAGACUGAUUUUGAAAACUCACUAAUUCACCCCUCCUCUUGGUGUAAAACGAAGCCUACGUGUUUUCCAACACAUCAAUCCCCUUUAGCAUAGAUAAGGGCAUCAAAUUAACACUUGACCCUAAAUCAAGUAAAGCUUUUCCCAUCUUCACACUCCCAAUGGCGCAAGGAAUUGUAAAACUUCUUGGAUCCUUUACUUUUGGAUGGUGUUUCUUCUUCAAAGAGUCACUACAACCUUCUUGUUCCUUGGUAGCUUUCUCCUCGAAAUCUAUCUUUUCUCCAAGAUAUUGCUUUAUACGCCUUGCAUCAACAAGAAUUUAGUCAAUGGUAUAGUAAUAUCCAUUUGAUUGAAGAUUUCUCUAAAGUGCUCACACUUACUCUCUUCUUUCUCUUCUCCUUUUGGGUAAGGAAGAACUCUCUCAUCUUUCUCAAUUUUCUCCUCUUUUUCUAUUUUUUUCUCUCCCCUCUUCUCUUUUUCUUCUCCAAUCUCUCCCUCACAUAUUUCUUCUUUUUCCUCUCUCUUUUCUAACUCAACACUUUCUUUUUCCACUCUUUCCUCAACCACACUCACAACAGUCUUACAAUCUUCUUUAGGGUUAACCUCAAUAUUAGACCUAAAUUGAUUUUUCUCUUAGACCUCCACCCU
rnacentral:lncRNA from 1 species